CAAAAUUUUUAUUUUUUCCCCCUAAAACCUUUCCCCGUCCUCCUCUCCCACACUUCUCCCUCCCGCCUUCUCCCAUCAGUAUCACCAAGCACUACCGCCACCGAACAGACUGCCACCCACGGCACUAACUCAAAAUCCGGAGACGCCACCCAGCCACCACCGGCGACGCCCGGUGAGUUGGAGAAGAUGUAAGAUUUUGGGCGGGAUCAAGGAGAAGCAGAGCUACAUGCUCUUUAGAGGGAUUUUCUAGAAAUUCAAAAGAAUCCGGGUGUAAAGGAUGAUAAAUGAUGGGAUUUGAUUUGAUUUUUAAGAACUACACGUUGUCAUGUAUUAGCCAUUUUUCUGAUUUGAUUUGAGUUUUAAUAAGAGAAUG